rnacentral:rRNA from 1 species
AUGAGGAAGAGCUUGUUCAACAUGUUCUAUUCGAUACUGGUAGGAGAAGAACCGGACUCGGUAUUCUUAAAGGAGGGGAAGUAGAACCAAGUCAAGAUGAUAUGGGUCGCCCCUUCUUCUUGCGCCAAAGAUAUUACCAUUUCCAAAGGAACUGGGGCUACAUUUCUUUUCAAUUUCCAUUCAAGAGUUUCUAUCUGUUUCCAUGCCCUUUUCUUGAGACCUCAAAACAUGAGGACACAUUACUUCUCUUAG